AGUAGGACUAGCAGACGGGAGGACUAGCCAUCGUGGUGAGAUCCCUGAGCAGUCUAAAUCCUGAGUACAGGAUAGUCGUCAGUAGUUCAACGCAGGCACGGUUCUGCCUUGAGAUGCUACGUGGACGAGGGCAUGCCCAAGACUUGCUUUAAUCUCGGCGGGGGUCGCCGAGGUGAAAACACCUAACGGUGUUGGGGUUACAGCCUGAUAGGGUGCUGCAGAGGCCCACGAAUAGGCUAGUAUAAAAAUCUCUGCUGUACAUGGCACAUGGAGUU
rnacentral:other from 1 species